rnacentral:rRNA from 1 species
GACGAACGCUGGCGGCGUGCUUAACACAUGCAAGUCGAACGGAAAGGCCUGCUUUCCCUUGUGGAUUGCGGGUACUCGAGUGGCGAACGGGUGAGUAACACGUGAGUGAUCUGCCCCCAACUUGGGUAUAAGCCUGGGAAACUGGGUCUAAUUCCCGAUAGGACUGCAGGGUGGUGCCUGUGGUGGAAAACGAUUUUCUAGUGGUUGGGGAUGAGCUCGCGGCCUAUCAGCUUGUUGGUGGGGUAAUGGCCUACCAAGGCGGCGACGGGUAGCCGGCCUGAGAGAGUGGACGGCCACAUUGGGACUGAGAUACGGCCCAGACUCCUACGGGAGGCAGCAGUGAGGAAUAUAGCACGAUGGGCGGAAGCCUAAUGCAGCGACGCCGCGUGGGGGAUGACGGCCUUCGGGUUGUAAACUCCUUUCGACAGCGAGGAAGCCACCUGGUUGGAAGGGUGGUGACGGUAGUGGUAGAAGAAGCACCGGCUAACUACGUG